rnacentral:rRNA from 1 species
CCUACGGGAGGCAGCAGUGGGGAAUAUUGCACAAUGGGCGAAAGCCUGAUGCAGCAACGCCGCGUGAAGGAAGAAGGGUUUCGGCUCGUAAACUUCUAUCAACAGGGACGAAAGAAAUGACGGUACCUGAAUAAGAAGCCCCGGCUAACUACGUGCCAGCAGCCGCGGUAAUACGUAGGGGGCAAGCGUUAUCCGGAAUUACUGGGUGUAAAGGGUGAGUAGGCGGCAUGGUAAGCCAGAUGUGAAAGCCUUGGGCUUAACCCGAGGAUGGCAUUUGGAACGAUCAAGCUAGAGUACAGGAGAGGAAAGCGGAAGUCCGAGGGUAGCGGUGAAAGGCGUAGAGAGUGGGAGGAACACCAGUGGCGAAGGCGGCUUUCUGGAAUGAAACUGACGUGGAGGCGCGAAAGCGUGGGGAGCAAACAGGAGUAGAUACCCUUGUAGUC